rnacentral:tRNA from 1 species
GGAUUGUAGCUCAGUGGUAGAGUUCUUGUCUUGCACAUGUGAGGCCCUGGGUUCAAUCCUCAGCACCA